GUUAGGGUAGAAGGAGCCUUGAAUAAGAAGUCAGGCAACCUCAGUUCCAGUCCUGGCUGUGUAAAACAGUAACCAACAACAUUCAAGAUGGCAGCCGCUUCCUGCGGACUGCAGGGAACAGAGCUCCCUGCUGUUGAUUGACGUGUACUGGAGGUAAGCCACCAAGUGUUCAUUUGUGCCACAACUAGUGAAGCCCUCACGCUUUAGAGCCCAUACUCCACAACAAGAGGAGCCACCACCAUGAGAAUCCUGCUCGCUGCAACUAGAGAAUGCCCUCGCACAGAAGUGAAGACCCAGAGCGAUCAUAAAUAAAUGAAUAAAUAGUUAAAAUGGUAAAUUAAAAAUCCAAGAGUGGAGCUGCAGCUGGCUCCUGAACAAAACCAGAACUUUAGUCCUUAGGAACCCACAUGAUCUCUUCUGUUCUCCGCUGUGCUUCCUGGUGUGUUUGCUUCAUUCUGUCUUACUCCAGUUCAGCUUUCUCUGUUUCCCAGACCAUGUGGUAGAAGAUGGCUUCUGCUGCUGUUACCCAUGUAUGUUGGAGUAACGUCAAGGAAAAUCCCCAGGUUUCUGGAUGCUAGAGGUAUUGCUGGAACAGAGAACACUGGAUGAUGACAAAGUUUGGAGAGGAUGAUAAUGAGUUUAGUUUUAGACAAAUCAAGGUUGAGAUACUUGUGGAAGAUGCGUGUGGAGAGGCCCAGUUGGGUCUGUGGAUCCAGAGCACAGCUGUCAUGAGUGACAGUUUAUGUCUGGAAGCCCAAAGAGAGCAGGGGAGGGCAGAGGGCUGAUAAGUGUGAGGUGCAGGCCAAGGAGACCGAGAAGCAGUCUAGGCAGAGACGUAGCACAGGACCCAAAAUGAGGCAAUACGCCGAUCUCAUUCACUCUUCUGGCUGCAUAGCAAAAUAGGGAGGUUUAUUUUACAGAUGAAAAAACUGGCUUGGGAGGCUGAGUGACUUCUAUGAGGUCAUGCACUUAGGGGCAGAGUCAGUCCCUGGCUCCUAAGCUGGGUCUUUCCGCUCUUGCACAGCUGUCUCUGAAGGGUGAGCAGGG
ensembl:lncRNA